UUGAAAAAUCAUUUAUUUAUUUUUAUUUGAUGAUUUGGUUUCAAUAUCAUAUAAUUCUGGUGCAAUUUGUAUGCAAUUGCUGUAAUUUGAGAUAUAAUUUGAUAUUUUUGGAUUGAUGCAUUUUUUAGUUACAAUGUGUUUGUUAGCUGAUGAAUUGGACGAGUCUUGUGCUCGGAUGGUUGGAUUAUAAGAUUGUAGUUAAAUUGAAUGAGUCUUAAGAGAAAAUCUGAUAUCCGAUGAGUGAUGAUGUUUAAGAUUCCGCAACUCGAUGUUCCUGAUCUGCAAGUUUCUGUAGUGGCUUUCGUUUGAGUUAUUUCUGCAAGUUAUUUCGUUUUAGUAGUGAUGAGGUAUUAUUUUUUGAUCAUCACGUUUUUGAGAUAAGAUAUACCAGCUGAAGCAUCACGUUCCAGGAAUAGAAUAGGAUAGAGAUGAUGUUCGAGCAACAACAACAUUUUCUUAUCAUCAUCUACCAGCUACUCCUAAGAAACUUCCUUUUGAUUGACAUUUCUUUCAAAGUAAUGUUAGGAUAGUAAUUUCAGAAGGAUACAGGAGGAGGCUGAUUGAUAUAUUUCAAAGGGCCAGCUGAUGCUUCAGUUGUUGCGGUUAUCUUAACUGUCAACUUAAUAGGUGCAUUUCAUUCUGAAAAUCUAUUGCUGAAAGCCUGAAACAGAGGGAACUGACACGGUCCCAUCACUCCAAUCUGACCAGCUCGAGCAUAAUCAAUUGGGUGAUGAACAAGAGAUUCAAGUUCUGCCCAAGCUUGACUCCAUGCUCCUUUUAGGACACACCAGAUAACUUCAAGAACGAUCAAGAAAGGGUUUAAGGGGGGUAGACAAGUGGUGGCUGUCUACAAUCUAUGUUCUGCCAAACUUUCUCUGAAAAGAGUCCUCUUCAUACAGAAGUAGAAGGAUCAAGUUCUCAAAGCAACCAUGACCAUCAAUGUUCACUCAGCCAUAACUUAUCAUCUGAGAUCAAAGUGGUUUAUGUGAAGAACAGAAAUGAGGCAUCUUUUAUGAUAUGGAAGAGGAAAAUGAAUCAAAGGGAAUGGCUGUAGCCUGUAAGUACAGAGAAGAGAGCUAGGGUUGUUUAAGGAUAGGCUAGUGAUAUUCUUGAAUAUUUUGAAUUCAAAUGAAUUGUAAAACAAUGUUGUUUAAUUUAAUGUCAUUUAAAUUUUAUUUAA